AAUAGACAGGAAAAAUCAUACUGGCUUUUGUUUGUAUAUAAAAGAUGCAAAAGAAUGCAUACUAGUAAUAACCAAGAAACCAAAAUGUUGCCUUUUUCUGCAUUUGCACCUGCACCUCCUUACAUCUCUCUUCUCUAUACUUAGAUUUUUAAAAAUCAUUGAAUGUAUUUGUAUUUUUUAAACUCAAGUUGUAGGGUGGAUAUCGAAAGAUAUAAAAGAUUAUCUCUCCAAGUCGUACAUACAACUUUCACCAAAUAUGAUUUUCUGCAGAAUUUUAUUUGCACUUAUGAGAUCGAGUAUGAAAUUCUGUUUACUUACUUUAAAUUGAGUCGUCGUUUUUCUCUAUAUUAUGUUAGAAUUGGAAAUCGUGUAUUUUACAUAUCCUUAUGAUCAAGUGCUUAGGUUUCUCAAGUAGUAUACAACUUUUUGCAGAAUUUUAUAUGCACCUAUGAGAUUGAGUAUGAAAUUUUGUUUACUUAAUUACUUUAAAUUGAGUAUAUGUUUCCCUCUAUAUCAUGUUAGAAUUGAAAAUCAUGUAUUUUACAUAUCCAUAUGAUUAUGUGCUUAGGUUUCCUAAAUAGUGUAAAACAAAAGUACUUCGAAUCAUUGUUAUUUGACUCAGAUCUGUUAAAUUUUUAUUUUUUCCUUACAACCAUGGAUUUCUACUCACUAUUCAUCUUUUUUUUCGAUUCGAUAUAUAUGUAGAUCGGAUCCUCAAACAAUAUUAUCAAACUCGUGUAGAAUCUGAAAAAUACAUUAUUUUUAAUGAAUUAUCCAACACAUACCUAAUGACAUUUCUUGGAAUUCUGUUUACUUACUUUAAAUUGAAUAACCCUUUUCCUCCUUAUCUUGUUAGAAUUGAAAAUAGUGUAUUUUUACAUAUCCAUAUGAUUAAGUGCUUAGGUUUCCAAAAUAGUUUUAAAUAAAAGUGCUUUAAAUAAUUGUUAUUUGACUCGGAUAUGUUAAAUUUUUUACAAAUAGCCAUGAAUUUCUACUCACUAUUCAUCUUCUGUUCGAUUAUGUCAAACUCGUGUCAGAUCUGAAAAAUAUAUUACUUUUGAUCAAUUAUCCAACACAUACCUAAUGACAUUUUUUGAAAAAAUUGAACAAUAUACUCUAUUUUUCACUAUCCAUGCCUUUCCCUUUCCCUUUCUCCUUUCCUUGGUUAUAGGAAAAAAGAAUUAAAAAGAGAAAAUAAGGGUCCAUUAUGAUAAAGACAUGUAAGUACAAUAUCAUAUAUAUAAUAAAUAAAUAAUAUUUACUAACCUCCUAUGUGACAAAAGAUUGAAAAGAAGGAGGUGCAGGCUCAAGUGCAGGUGAAUAUAGCAUUUUGAAAAGAAAAAAAGAAGUCUCAAGAUGCUUCUUUUAUAUAAUAAUAAUAUAUAGGGGAUUUGUCGAUAGAACCAAAAUGAACCGUCCCAUGAAAGAGUUUCAGGAGCCAGCUAAUAUUAAAGAUUUGAUUUUCAUGGUAUCUUAUUAUUGGAGAUUAUAAAGCAAAGACCAAGGUUACUGAGUUCGAUCUACUGAACUAUAUUGGCAGCUGGAAAGAUAGGAGCACCAAUG